GUUACAAAGAACCCCGAACAACCCAAACUGUUAAUCUUCAAUACCGCUUUGUACUUACGAUCUUGUAUCCACUGACUGUCUUGUUAGAUUAACCCAAUAAAUUUCAUUCACUCCGCAUACUCAAUCCUAUAGACACCCUUUUAAUCCUUCAAUCACAGACGUAACUCGAUUUCACAAAAUAGUCAAGAGUAUUCAAACCCACUUCAUUAAAAAUCUCGAUUCACCAUUACAAUACUGACUUCAGCAGCGAUUGCCUUAGUCUUCCCAAAACUCUACGAAGAAGAAAAAUCCAAAUUCUAUGUCUUUCCUUCCCCGA
rnacentral:lncRNA from 1 species